UACGUAGGGGGCAAGCGUUGUCCGGAUUUAUUGGGCGUAAAGAGCUCGUAGGUGGUUCGGUAAGUCGGAUGUGAAAUCUCCAGGCUCAACCUGGAGGGGUCAUUCGAUACUGCCGUGACUAGAGGUCGGUAGGGGAGUGUGGAAUUCCUGGUGUAGCGGUGAAAUGCGCAGAUAUCAGGAGGAACACCGGUGGCGAAGGCGGGUCUCUGGGCAACAACUGACGCUGAGGAGCGAAAGCGUGGGGAGCGAACAGG
rnacentral:rRNA from 1 species